UUGGCUUGUGUACCGCGUUAGUCUCAGUUUUGUCGUCAGGUGAUCUGCACGCACAUUUUCUUCAUUAUUCUUGAGUUUCUUAAUUUAUCCUCGCAUUGUCACGUAAUAUUUCAAUGCUUUUUCGCGAUUGUGCGUGAGUGAUGUGCAGCGUUCGUUAAACGCUGAUUGUACAUAUGUGGAGGUAAAGAGUGAGUGAUGUUCCGUCGGAUACUAUUUUGUUUUACGAGUAUACGCGUAUUGCAUCAUUCCUAUAAUGGGAAUAAUUAAGGUCCUUGCAGAUUAUUGGAUAUGACAAAACGCAAAAAUUUAUUUUGCAUCAAGUGUCUACUCACAUUUGAUUUGCGGUGUUCGAUACACUGUACUUGCCGUAUCCUUGCAAUCCGAUGAGCGCUGCAUUGUACUUUCUAUGAUUACCUGAUGCACUGAAUUGAUGCGUGCCGUCGGAUGCGACUUGGAUCUACCCGCAGAGUAUGGUCAUGUCAAUCAUCGGUUUAAUAACGUGAAAUUUUCCUUGCUUGCAUUUUUAUUUUUAUUUCAUAAAUCUGCCGGCUCUUAAACGUAUUUUCGUAGUUUGGCAAUUGAUUAUUGAGAGUAAUAUAUUUGUAAAAUAUUUGUAAUAUAUUUGUAAAAUGUA